UGGAACUUUACAUGUGCAGAAUAAUUCUAUUUUCUGUCAAAUUUUUAAACUAAUUAGCUGAAAUAAUGAGAAUAUGCUUUAAGAAAUGUUGCAACUAAUUUAAAUUUGUUUUCUAAACCGCCUUCAUCUUCCUUUAGCACAGAGCAAAUGUUAAGGAUUAUGCUAACGGUUUCCUGCAGAAAAUGGGUGAACCAAAAACAUUGUCUGGUCUCAUCUUAUUGUUUUGUUAGCUAUGUAACAGGCUCUAUCAGGCCCUGAGCAAAUUAUUCAUUCAUUCAUUUUUAUUCACCUGCAAAUUGAAAAUAAACUGUUGAUAUGUACUCUGCUGCAGGCACCGUGCCAGUGACUAUGGGUACAAAGACGGAUAAAGCAUGAAUUUGCCUGGACAUAACUCACAGCUUACCAGAGCAGGAAAACCUUGGUACCAUCGGAAAGCAGUGCUGAUUCAGACCCCAAGUGAGCAUUCUUGGAUUUCAUGCAAGAAAUAAUUCAGGAUCAGAAACAAGUCUCACGAUUCUGGAGACAAGAAAGUCCACAAUCAAGGUGCUGGCAGAUCCGGUGACAGAAACUCUUAUCAACAGAGCAAACAGACAACCUAUAGAAUGGGAGAAAAUAUUUGCAAGAUAUGCAUCUGACAAAGUUCUGACAUCCAACAUCUAUAAGGAGCUUGAACAAAUUCAUAAGGAAAAAACAAACAACCCCAUUGAAUUUUCUGAUGACUAAUAAUGCUGAACACAUUUUCAUGUAGACCUACAUGAGCUGUCCAGUCAUAUUCUGAAUGUCAACCUAUCUUUCCAUAAAACAUAACUAUCAUAGGUACCUUACAAACUUCAGGUUUAUAAGACGAGGAAUUGUAUUUGAUCUGAAAUGCCUAAGUGGACACAGUUCUGCCAAUAAUGAGCCACAUCCACCUUUGAGCAAACAGAAGGGCUGGAUGGAUCUCCAUAAUAUAUAAAAGAAAAGAAAAAAUAACUUUUUAAUAAAAAUAAAAAAUAGCACCUGUAUUAAUCAAGAUUCUUCAGUGAAAUAGAGCAAAUAAAAAUUUGUUUUUUUUCCCCCACUGGAAAAUACCUUUUGUUUUUCCUUUUCUGAGCAUCUCCCUUCCCUUCCUUUCCUUUCACCUUACCUUUCUCCCUUCUUUUC
rnacentral:lncRNA from 10 species